rnacentral:rRNA from 1 species
GACAGAGGGUGCAAACGUUGUUCGGAAUUACUGGGCGUAAAGCGCGUGUAGGUGGCGAGGCAAGUCGGGUGUGAAAGCCCUGGGCUCAACCCAGGAAGUGCACUCGAUACUGCCUAGCUAGAGUCCCGGAGAGGUUGGUGGAACUCUCGGUGUAGAGGUGAAAUUCGUAGAUAUCGAAGAAGAACACCGGUGGCGAAGGCGGCCAACUGGACGGUGACUGACACUGAGACGCGAAAGCGUGGGGAGCAACAGG